rnacentral:rRNA from 1 species
GUGUCAGCGCCGCGGUCAUACGUAGGGCGCGAGCGUUGUCCGGAAUUAUUGGGCGUAAGGAGCUCGUAGGCGGCUUGUCGCGUCUGCUGUGAAAUCCCGGGGCUUAACCCCGGGCGUGCAGUGGAUACGGGCAGGCCGGAGUCAGGCAGGGGAGAACGGCAUUCCCGGUGUAGCGGUGAAAUGCGCAGAUAUCGGGAGGAACACCGGUGGCGAAGGCGGUUCUCUGGGCCUGUUCUGACGCUGAGGAGCGAAAGCGUGGGGAGCGAACAGGAUUAGAAACCCCGGUAGUCC